GCAGGGUGUGGUGGCGCAUGCCUGUAAUCCCAGCUACUCGGGAGGCUGAGGCAGGAGAAUCGCUUGAACCCGGGAGGCGGAGGUUGCAGUGAGCUGAGAACAUAGCACUGCACUCCAGCCUGGGUGACAGAGCGAGACUCUGUCUCAG
rnacentral:SRP_RNA from 2 species